rnacentral:rRNA from 1 species
UACGUAGGGUGCGAGCGUUAAUCGGAAUUACUGGGCGUAAAGCGUGCGUAGGCGGUUCGUUGUGUCUGUGGUGAAAGCCCCGGGCUUAACCUGGGAAUGGCCAUGGAAACUGGCGAGCUGGAGUGUGGCAGAGGGGGGUGGAAUUCCGCGUGUAGCAGUGAAAUGCGUAGAGAUGCGGAGGAACACCGAUGGCGAAGGCAGCCCCCUGGGCUAACACUGACGCUGGAGGCACGAAAAGCGUGGGGGAGCAAACAGG